GGAGAGGUGCCCGAGCGGUUGAAGGGGGCUGUCUCGAAAACAGUUGUUCUGGCUAAAACCGGAACCGGGGGUUCGAAUCCCCCCCUCUCCGCCA
rnacentral:tRNA from 1 species